rnacentral:rRNA from 1 species
UGCCAGACUCCUACGGGAGGCAGCAGUGGGGAAUAUUGCACAAUGGGGGAAACCCUGAUGCAGCGACGCCGCGUGAGCGAUGAAGUAUUUCGGUAUGUAAAGCUCUAUCAGCAGGGAAGAAGAUGACGGUACCUGACUAAGAAGCCCCGGCUAACUACGUGCCAGCAGCCGCGGUAAUACGUAGGGGGCAAGCGUUAUCCGGAUUUACUGGGUGUAAAGGGAGCGUAGACGGCGGCGCAAGCCAGAUGUGAAAGCCCGGGGCUCAACUCCGGGACUGCAUUUGGAACUGUGUGGCUGGAGUGUCGGAGAGGCAGGCGGAAUUCCUAGUGUAGCGGUGAAAUGCGUAGAUAUUAGGAGGAACACCAGUGGCGAAGGCGGCCUGCUGGACGAUGACUGACGUUGAGGCUCGAAAGCGUGGGGAGCAAACAGGAUUAGAUACCCCGGUACA